CUGUAUGUAACACAGGGAAUCCUAAUCACUCCCACAGAAGCUGCACGGGAGUGGCAUGGAGGUGAAGGGGCUGUCACUCCUCUGACGUUGGCCUGGGGAGGUCCCACUGAAUUGUGACACUGGGUAUUCUUGAAUUCCAAAAAUCCCAAUCCGAGGAAUUAUCCCUGAUCUUUCGUGUUCUAAGACAUUUUACCAUAUGUCCAAAGGCAGCCAGAAGUUUGAAAUUAAUCUUGAUCCACAUCCAUCGAAGUAGUAGGGCCAUGUCUCCUGACAUUAUGAAACCCGUGCUGAUGUUCUGGGCAGAACAUCUAUAUCUGGCAUGGUUGGCAAGAGUCCAGUGUCCUUUCUCCAUCUUCUGUAUCAGGAAGUGUCUGGAAGAAGGAGCUAUUCUUUGCUCAUGUUAGCAGGAUGGAGGAGGAAACACUUUCCAUCAGUGCAUGCAGGUAGCAGCUAAGCACCCAUCUUGAAACUGAGCUGGAAUCGGCAGACACCAGCUGAGAGUGGCUGGCUUUUCUCCACCUCCUUCCCCAAUGGGGAAAGGGAAAUGAGCAGCGAAACCAUCUGAGUACAAUCCCAUGAUGAAAUAUAUCACCCUUUGGACCACUUGUCAAGCAUACUGUUGCAAUCUCUUCCCCACAACACCUGGGGAAAUGUGCUCCAGCCUGACCCUGAUCCAUGCCCAAGUGGGACCUUUUUCAGCUGCAUAACCUCUUCCUUUAGAGGGCAGGCUGAAGCAAUUCCCUGGCAGACAGAAGAACCAAUUUAAGGGAGAUCACUCCCACUAAAGAGGUCCUUUCUGGUGUGAUCAGGCAUGCACCUUUGCAGCCAUCUGAUUUCACGCUCAGAUAACAUUUCUAGGUGCCAGCUGAGUCCUGGAU
rnacentral:lncRNA from 1 species